CCUACGGGAGGCGGCAGUGGGGAAUAUUGCGCAAUGGGCGAAAGCCUGACGCAGCGACGCCGCGUGAGGGAUGAAGGUCUUCGGAUCGUAAACCUCUGGCAGCAGGGAAGAACGGUCACGGGGCUAAUCAGCAGUGAAUUGACGGUACCGGCAAAGGAAGCACCGGCUAACUCCGUGCCAGCAGCCGCGGUAAUACGGAGGGUGCGAGCGUUAAUCGGAAUUACUGGGCGUAAAGCGCUCGUAGGCGGUAUGUCAAGUAAAGGGUGAAAUCCCCGCGCUCAACGUGGGAACUGCCUUUGAAACUGGCAGACUGGAGUGUGUGAGAGGAUAGUGGCAUUCCAUGUGUAGGCGU
rnacentral:rRNA from 1 species